GAAUUAAGCGAUGGCAUUGUUAAUAAUUUAUUCCUUCUGGGAGAUUAGACCGUUGGAGGAAGCAGAGGCCCAAAUCCGGCCUCCAUCCAGAGUCGGUCGGUGAGCUAGGUUUCUCUCAGGAGACGGCCAAUACCUACAAAUGCUGCUGAAUACAUUCGAUCAUAGAGGAUCGAUCGGCCGGAACAAGCUCAUUCUCUCAUCCAUUAUUACAGAAGCCAAGAAAUUUAUGUGAUUUGCGCGACCUCUGCGUAUAAUCGCCCAAGAACAUGGGAGGUUAGUUCGGGAGACGGAAAAAAGAAAUGGCACGUUAUACCGUUCUUCGGAUUCAACCGCGGGUUGCGUCAUUUGAAGAACAGAGCUUCCAUGGAUGUGAGGGAUCGUCCUGACUUCAUGGGGGGUUUGUAAGUAUAAGAGCUAGAGGGACAUGUAGAAAAAAAUUCAAAAGAUUUAGUACUUGAAGCAAAGUGCAUUGCUAGUAAGAGCUGAAGUUUCACUAAAUAUGGAGAAAGGAGUAAUGUUGCAUAUUGGAGCCCAGGGUUUUUUACUUCCUUGGUUUAAAAAGUCUUCUUCAAAACUUGAGUUCCUUUUUGGUUUUUUCUUUUGGGUAAGAGGAAAGUCUUUAGCCAGUUUGAUUUUCAUCUGUCUCUGUUCACAUCUUGUAGCUGUGUUCGAUAUACAGUAUAGAGGGUGGUAGGAUAUACAUAUGGCAACUUGACGAAAUAAUUUAACUUAAUAGAACAUGUAAUAUAUUUUUAUAAGAAUCUCAUGUAUUUGUAUGGUAUGCAUGUGUAAAGGAUAAUUCUCCCUAUUAAUAUCCUAUUCAAACUGGUUAUUCCAA